ACGGCGGCCGUAACAAUAACGGUCCUAAGGUAGCGAAAUUCCUUGUCGGGUAAGUUCCGACCCGCACGAAAGGCGUAACGAUUUGGACACUGUCUCGGAGAGGGACUCGGCGAAAUAGACUUGUCUGUGAAGAUGCGGACUACCUGCACCUGGACAGAAAGACCCUAUGAAGCUUUACUGUAACUUGAGAUUGGUUUCGGGUUUUAUUUGCGCAGAAUAGGUGGGAGGCUAUGAAAAAAUACUUGUGGGUGUUUUGGAGCCAUCAGUGAGAUACCACUCUUGUAAAACUAGAAAUCUAACUUUACACCAUUAUCUGGUUAAAAGACAGUCUCAGGCGGGCAGUUUGACUGGGGCGGUCGCCUCCUAAAAGGUAACGGAGGCGUACAAAGGUUUCCUCAAAUCGGUCAGACAU
rnacentral:rRNA from 1 species